CUAACCCUAUUUACUUCUGGUACCUUCUGCUCUCUCUCUCUCUCUCUCUCUCGGAGAAGCAUUUGAGCAGAAUCCAUUACAGGCCGACUAAACCUUUCCUCUGUUUCGGAGCUAGCGUGCUUCAACAAUGGCGACUCUGAUGCAGAAAAUCAAGGAUAUCGAAGAUGAGAUGGCUAGGACUCAAAAGAACAAAGCUACUGCCCAUCACUUGGGUUUGCUGAAGGCUAAACUUGCAAAGCUAAGGAGAGAUCUACUUGAGCCUCCAUCAAAAGGCGGUGGCGGUGCUGGUGAAGGUUUUGAUGUCACUAAAAGCGGAGAUGCAAGAGUUGGUUUGGUGGGUUUCCCUUCAGUUGGGAAAUCUACACUGCUGAAUAAAUUAACUGGGACCUUUUCAGAGGUUGCUUCCUAUGAAUUCACUACUUUAACUUGCAUACCAGGAGUGAUUGUGUAUCGAGGUGCGAAAAUUCAGUUGUUAGAUCUCCCUGGAAUUAUUGAGGGUGCUAAGGAUGGAAAGGGUAGAGGAAGACAGGUUAUCAGCACUGCUAGGACAUGCAAUUGCAUUUUAAUUGUUCUUGAUGCAAUAAAGCCAAUAACUCACAAGCGUCUAAUUGAAAAAGAGCUCGAGGGAUUUGGCAUAAGGUUAAACAAGGAACCACCUAACCUUACAUUCCGGAAGAAAGAUAAAGGUGGUAUCAAUUUCACUUCAACGGUUACAAACACACAUCUGGAUCUUGAAACUGUGAAGGCAAUAUGCAGUGAAUACAGAAUUCACAAUGCUGAUAUCACUCUUAGGUUUGAUGCAACUGCCGAUGAUCUCAUUGAUGUUAUUGAAGGCAGUAGGAUAUAUAUGCCUUGCAUCUAUGUUGUGAACAAGAUUGAUCAGAUUACACUUGAAGAGCUUGAGAUUUUGGAUAAACUUCCUCACUACUGUCCUGUCAGUGCUCACCUGGAGUGGAACCUUGAUGGUUUGCUGGAGAAAAUAUGGGAGUAUCUUAAUUUAACUCGCAUAUAUACAAAACCUAAAGGGAUGAAUCCAGACUAUGAAGACCCUGUGAUCCUAUCAUCUAAGACAAGGACCGUUGAGGAUUUCUGCGAACGGAUUCAUAAAGAUUUUAUUAAACAAUUUAAGUAGUAAUGCUCUUGUUUGGGGGUCAAGCGCGAAGCACAAGCCCCAAAGAGUUGGCAAGGAACAUCUGCUUGAAGACGAAGAUGUUGUUCAGAUUAUCAAAAAGGUGUGAUUUGGUGAAUAUCAGGAUGUCAUGUACGAGAGGUAAAGCAUUUUGAGAUGAAGCUUUUCUUUUUUCCCGACUGGAUUGCUUGUAUUUUGUAGACCAUACAGCACCUCCUCCAGUGUCUGCUUAUUGGGGGUGUAAGGCUAGGCAGAACUUGAGGCAGUUUGAUAUUUAAUAUCAUACUGCACGUCGUCAUAAAAUUUAUUUAGUUUGUAGUAUAAAAAGUAUCAUCCAUCACAAAGAAAGUUGUUUUUUUAAGAAGGUAACGGAAGUGAGAUGCUCCAGGCGUGAGGAUACAACGAAUUGUGGAUUACUGCAUGAGCGUAAUGCCGUAAAUAGUAGUAGAGCCUAACGCCUGGGAGGAUCGCUUCUAUUUUGGGCUCGGUUUAUUUCCCUUGCUUUAGCUAUUUAGAUAAGUUGUCUAAUUUUUGCAAGUCCAAAGAGCUCAAGAAAUGGGAUAAGGAAGCUCUUAUUUUAUGGUCAA